rnacentral:rRNA from 1 species
UACGUAGGGGGCUAGCGUUGUCCGGAAUCAUUGGGCGUAAAGAGCGUGUAGGCGGCCCGAUAAGUCCGCUGUGAAAGUCCAGGGCUCAACCCUGGAAUGCCAGUGGAAACUGUCGGGCUAGAGUCCGGAAGAGGCGAGUGGAAUUCCUGGUGUAGCGGUGAAAUGCGCAGAUAUCAGGAGGAACACCAAUGGCGAAGGCAGCUCGCUGGGACGGUACUGACGCUGAGACGCGAAAGCGUGGGGGAGCAAACAGG